GAUUGCUGGCCAUUAGAUUAGGCCGCAAAGAAACAGCUGUACAUUACUUGUCUCUGGUAAAAUUCCGCACGCGUUGCGGCAUUAAUCAUACGCAGCGUUGGCCACUAGACGAGCGCUUGACACGACAUCAGCCCAGAAACUUGGCCAUCCCCCCAGCAGAUACUGCAAGCCUGUGCCCAGUAGGUCAACAGAGUGUGCACACACACUUGACACACUCGCAGGGGGUUGGAUUUCCCAUCGCCACUCUGUGAAGGGUGCCUUCGGGCCACCUACAUACAACCACUGCGUCACAACCGCCGAAGAGCAACAACAAGUAUGGCAAACACGAAGGCAAAAAGAAGGCAAAAUCAGCAGCGUAAACAGUUGUCAUCGCCCACUGACGAGUCUUGUUGAGCGGCCAAUCAAUCGAUCAAUGACUAACGAUCUGUUGCCACAUCUACCCCGCACUGGAUACCUUUUCAGUUUUCGCCAUAAACAAAUGUACAAUGUGCAGUAGCGACAGAAUGUCUUCGCAAGUCGACUGUUAUUGCAAAACGAUCAGCUGGUUAUCAGCCAGUUGUUUGGGCCAAAUGUUUACUCCACCUAAGCAACCGUUAGUCACCAGCGCCAUAAGCAUUUUCUUUAGAAUCACGAAGUGACCCACGCGCACAGCUGUGGUCAACAUAAUAGGGUUGUAUAAAAUAGAUUACCCAAGAACAAUAUAAAAACUUUAAAAUGCAAACCAUUUAAUAAAUAUAAAUAAAUUUAAUUUGAGAACAAAGUUCGUCAGAAUAUAGGUCAGAGUCAUUAAUAAUGAUAACGUAAAUAACUUAAUGAAUCAUCGGUUGCAUAAAGCUUUAGCCAAAAUAUUUUUUAUUGAAGUAUUGUUAAAAAUAUGUUUUUGAUGGGGCACAAUUGGUAUAUGUUAUUAGAAUUAUUCUGUAUCGUUUCUGAAUCCAUUUUGCUGAUUUAGGAUUUCUUUAAACAUUUCUCAAUUGUUUCAUUAUUAGUAUAUUAACCUCAAUUGUAGAUCUGGCAGAAUGUGCAUGCUCGUGUAUGAAUGUAUAUAAUCAGACGGCCGGCGGCGGCACGCCCACCUAUCUUUAUCCGUUAGAUUUAUUUUCCAAAUACUUUUUCGUUGUUUGGGCGAACCACUGCGUCGCCAGGGCAUAUAAAAUGGAAAUAAUUCAUAAUUAAAUAUUGCACAUCUCUGUAUAGAUAUGAGCAAAGUGAAUUGUAUACGUUUAUAUCUGAUUAUAAAUAUACAUGCGAUUUUUGUUGUUAUAAUUGCCAUGUAGAUACACGAGCGAAAUGCAAUGCCAGGCAUUUAUGCAUUUCAGACGUUUUUCUCGGAACUCGCAUUUCAAAUAUUGCAGCUUAUGGAUAAAUGGAGUAUCUCACACACAAUUCUUUAGAAUUUUGAUCUGCUCCUUUUAUGGCCUCAUGAAUGAAACGUAAGCCGUCAAAACAAAUCGCAUUGAAUGAGUCAAUCAAAAGCAAUUGUGUAUCUAGCUAAAUGUGCUGAAAUCGAAGAACCCCCGAUUCUCAUAACAAAGUGAAACAAAUAUAAGUUUCAAAUUUGGUAUUUCAAUGUGAUUCUCUAGCAAUAUGACUCUCUAAUUGUAAACAAAAUAAGGAUUGGUUUUCGAUUGUAAU